rnacentral:rRNA from 1 species
UACGGAGGAUCCAAGCGUUAUCCGGAAUCAUUGGGUUUAAAGGGUCCGUAGGCGGUUUUGUAAGUCAGUGGUGAAAGCCCAUCGCUCAACGGUGGAACGGCCAUUGAUACUGCAAGACUUGAAUUAUUAGGAAGUAACUAGAAUAUGUAGUGUAGCGGUGAAAUGCUUAGAGAUUACAUGGAAUACCAAUUGCGAAGGCAGGUUGCUACUAAUGGAUUGACGCUGAUGGACGAAAGCGUGGGGAGCGAACAGG